UACCAGCACCCCGAGUGGUCGGGACGAUUAUUGGGCCUAAAGCAUCCGUAGCCGGUCCUGCAAGUCUUCCGUUAAAUCCAGCUGCUCAACAGAUGGGCUGCGGGGGAUACUACAGGGCUAGGAGGCGGGAGAGGCAAGCGGUACUUUAUGGGUAGGGGUAAAAUGCGCAGAUAUCGGGAGGAACACCAAUGGCGAAGGCAGCUCGCUGGGACGGUACUGACGCUGAGACGCGAAAGCGUGGGGAGCAAACAGG
rnacentral:rRNA from 1 species